CCUACGGGUGGCAGCAGUGAGGAAUAUUGGUCAAUGGUCGGGAGCCUGAACCAGCCAAGCCGCGUGAGGGAUGAAGGUCCAGAGGAUCGUAAACCUCUUUUGUCAGGGAACAAAGGCGGGGACGUGUCCCCGGAUGAGUGUACCUGAAGAAUAAGCAUCGGCUAACUCCGUGCCAGCAGCCGCGGUAAUACGGAGGAUACGAGCGUUAUCCGGAUUUAUUGGGUUUAAAGGGUGCGCCGGUGGGCUGUUAAAGCAGCUGUAAAAAUCUCGGGGUCAACCCCAGCACCGCCGUUGAGACUGGCAGUCUCGAGUUGGAGAGAAGUAUGCGGAAUGCGCGGUGUAGCGGUGAAAUGCAUAGAUAUCGCGCAGAACUCCGAUUGCGAAGGCAGCAU
rnacentral:rRNA from 1 species